rnacentral:rRNA from 1 species
UACGUAGGGUGCAAGCGUUAAUCGGAAUUACUGGGCGUAAAGCGUGCGCAGGUGGUUGUGGAAGCUUGAUGUGAAAUCCCCGGGCUUAACCUGGGAAUGGCAUUGAGGACUGCACGGCUAGAGUGUGGCAGAGGGGGGUGGAAUUCCGCGUGUAGCAGUGAAAUGCGUAGAGAUGCGGAGGAACACCGAUGGCGAAGGCAGCCCCCUGGGCUAACACUGACACUCAUGCACGAAAUCGUGGGGAGCAAACAGG